rnacentral:rRNA from 1 species
UACAGAGGUCCCAAGCGUUGUUCGGAUUCAUUGGGCGUAAAGGGUGCGUAGGUGGCGUCGUAAGUCGGGUGUGAAAUCUCGGAGCUUAACUCCGAAACUGCAUUCGAUACUGCCGUGCUUGAGGACUGGAGAGGAGACUGGAAUUUACGGUGUAGCGGUGAAAUGCGUAGAUAUCGUAAGGAAGACCAGUGGCGAAGGCGGGUCUCUGGACAGUUCCUGACGCUGAGGCACGAAGGUCAGGGGAGCAAACGGGG